rnacentral:rRNA from 1 species
UACGGGGGGGGCAAGCGUUGUUCGGAAUUACUGGGCGUAAAGGGCGCGUAGGCGGCCUGCUAAGUCGAACGUGAAAUCCCCGGGCUCAACCCGGGAACUGCGUCCGAUACUGGAAGGCUUGAAUCCGGGAGAGGGAUGCGGAAUUCCAGGUGUAGCGGUGAAAUGCGUAGAUAUCUGGAGGAACACCGGUGGCGAAGGCGGCAUCCUGGACCGGCAUUGACGCUGAGGCGCGAAAGCCAGGGGAGCAAACGGG